rnacentral:rRNA from 1 species
UACGGGGGGGGGCAAGCGUUGUUCGGAAUUACUGGGCGUAAAGGGCUCGUAGGUGGCCAACUAAGUCAGACGUGAAAUCCCUCAGCUUAACUGGGGAACUGCGUCUGAUACUGGAUGGCUUGAGUUUGGGAGAGGGCAGUGGAAUUCCCGGUCGUAGCGGUGAAAUGCGUAGAUAUCGGGAGGAACAUCAGUGGCGAAGGCGGCUGCCUGGCCCAAUACUGACACUCAGGUGCGACAGCGGUGGGGAGCAAACAGG